GUGAGUAAUGCCUAGGAAUCUGCCUGGUAGUGGGGGACAACGUUUCGAAAGGAACGCUAAUACCGCAUACGUCCUACGGGAGAAAGCAGGGGACCUUCGGGCCUUGCGCUAUCAGAUGAGCCUAGGUCGGAUUAGCUAGUUGGUGGGGUAAUGGCUCACCAAGGCGACGAUCCGUAACUGGUCUGAGAGGAUGAUCAGUCACACUGGAACUGAGACACGGUCCAGACUCCUACGGGAGGCAGCAGUGGGGAAUAUUGGACAAUGGGCGAAAGCCUGAUCCAGCCAUGCCGCGUGUGUGAAGAAGGUCUUCGGAUUGUAAAGCACUUUAAGUUGGGAGGAAGGGCAGUAAGCUAAUACCUUGCUGUUUUGACGUUACCGACAGAAUAAGCACCGGCUAACUCUGUGCCAGCAGCCGCGGUAAUACAGAGGGUGCAAGCGUUAAUCGGAAUUACUGGGCGUAAAGCGCGCGUAGGUGGUUUGUUAAGUUGGAUGUGAAAGCCCCGGGCUCAAC
rnacentral:rRNA from 1 species